ensembl:lincRNA linc-151 ncRNA
AAAACCUUAAAGUGCUUUAUUUUCUCCAAUUCCUCCAAACACCUUUAAAACUAUCUCAACAGGGUUAUGUAGUGACCCUGAGUUUAUAAAAUUCCAUAUUCCUUAUAUAAACUUUUACUUACCUACCAAUUGAUCAGAAACUUUUCGAAUAAAUAGUUAAUGUUUUUUUUUCAAUGAUGCAAUUGCCAAGAUGAGUCAUAAUAUCUGUAAGUCAAAUAGCAAAACAAGAAAAGUCAAAGUACAAUGUUUAUUGUUUCUAGGUGGAUAUUACAGGUGAUAUUCUCAAAAUUGUCGCAUGAUUUUUUUUUGUUUUCAGAUCACACCACAGUUUGGUAUAAAUGUCGGGAUAAAUUUUGAACAAAUCUUCAGAAUAUCUUCGUAGUUGACUACAAUUGCCAAUCAAACUAAAACAAUCGUUUUCGCACUUUGUUUUUGUCCGAAUGACCCAUAAUAUCAAUGACCUGAAACUUUUAUCUUUUAUCAACAUGUCCAUUCUUUGAUCUCUUUCUUCUUUAUUUGAAAACAUCGUUCAAUCAAAGGAUAGUGAGGUUAUCACAUAUCUCUCUUUCUUGUCUUUAUCACUCAACACGUCCAUUUCAUCAACAGAUUGCUUGAAUGUAUCUCGUAGGUGUUGUGCGGUAUUUUUGCAAUGUUCUAGGUUUUCGGAUUUUUUUUUAAAUUUAAAAUGUAUAGUUUAGGUACAUGCCUCGCACCUACCUGUCUUAACCUACUUUUCAUUUUUCAUCCCUGAAAAAUUUAAAUCAGCAAAAAUUAAUUUACCCCAAUUCUUUUAACUUUAUGAAACUAUAAUUAGUUUUCAAUUUAAUUUCUGAUGCACUUUUAUUUCCUGUUGAAAGUCUUCCAUUUUCCAAAUUUGUCAAAACCAUCCAUCAAGCACAUUAGAAAUCCGAGUUCUGAGCAUUGUGCAUAAAAUUCAUUUCUUU